CCCUUUGGGGUGUGACUGCGUACCUUUUGUAUAAUGGGUCAGCGACUUAUAUUCUGUAGCAAGGUUAACCGUAUAGGGGAGCCGGAGGGAAACCGAGUCUUAACCGGGCGUUAAGUUGCAGGGUAUAGACCCGAAACCCGGUGAUCUAGCCAUGGGCAGGUUGAAGGUUGGGUAACACUAACUGGAGGACCGAACCGACUAAUGUUGAAAAAUUAGCGGAUGACCUGUGGCUGGGGGUGAAAGGCCAAUCAAACCGGGAGAUAGCUGGUUCUCCCCGAAAGCUAUUUAGGUAGCGCCUCGUGAAUUCAUCUCCGGGGGUAGAGCACUGUUUCGGCUAGGGGGCCAUCCCGGCUUACCAACCCGAUGCAAACUGCGAAUACCGGAGAAUGUUAUCACGGGAGACACACGGCGGGUGCUAACGUCCGUCGUGAAGAGGGAAACAACCCAGACCGCCAGCUAAGGUCCCAAAGUCAUGGUUAAGUGGGAAACGAUGUGGGAAGGCCCAGACAGCCAGGAUGUUGGCUUAGAAGCAGCCAUCAUUUAAAGAAAGCGUAAUAGCUCACUGGUCGAGUCGGCCUGCGCGGAAGAUGUAACGGGGCUAAACCAUGCACCGAAGCUGCGGCAGCGAACGUAUCACUUAAAGCGAUUCAGCGGGUUACGAUUGACGGAGCGAAGCGACGUCAAAGCGUAUACAAAGUCGAGUCGGUUUAAGGAUACGUUCGUUGGGUAGGGGAGCGUUCUGUAAGCCUGUGAAGGUGGCCUGUGAGGGUUGCUGGAGGUAUCAGAAGUGCGAAUGCUGACAUAAGUAACG
rnacentral:rRNA from 1 species